rnacentral:sRNA from 1 species
CCUGGGUAUGGUGGCACAUACCUGUAGUCCUAGCUUCUUGGGAGGCUGAAUCAGGAGAAUUGCUUGAGUCCAGGAGUUCUGGGCUGUAGUAUGCUCUGCUGAUUGGUUGUCCACACUAAAUUCAGCAUCAAUAUAGUGACCUUCCAGGAGCUGGAGACCGCCAGGUUGCCUAAGGAGGGGUGAACUAGCCCAAGUCAGAAACAGAGCAGGUCAAAUCAAUAAGUCAGUUGGAUUCAUGGAUGCUUUAAUACCCUCUGACAUUCACAUAAGCAUUGGUUAUU